AUUGAACGCUGGCGGCAUGCCUUACACAUGCAAGUCGAACGGUAACAGGUCUUCGGAUGCGGACGAGUGGCUGACGGGUGAGUAAUACAUCGGAACGUGCCCGAUCGCGGUGUAUAACGAGGCGAAAGCUUUGCUAAUAUCGCAUACGAUCUACGGAUGAAAGCGGGGGAUGUUCGGACGUCGGGCGGACGGAGCGGGCGGUGGGAGAUUAGGGAGUUGGUGUGGUAGAAGCGUACCAAGCCGACGAUCUGUAGCUGGUCUGACAGGAUGAUCAGCCACACUGGCACUGAGACACGGCCAAGCCUCCCAGGGGAGGACGGAGGGGGGAAGUUGGGAAAAUGGGAGAAUGCCUGCUACAGCCAUGCCGCGUGGAGGCGGAAGGACUUCGGGUCUUAAACUGGUUUUCUACUGAACGAAAUGGCCAUUCCUCAACAAGAGUGGUGAUGAGGGUACUGUAAGAAUAAGCACCGGCUAACUACGUG
rnacentral:rRNA from 1 species